CGCAUCGUCUUCUUAUCGGGUUGGCAAAAGGCUACUCAUCGUCUUCUUCAUCGGGCAAAGAAGCGAGCGAGAGAGAGAGAGAGAUGAGCGCAGAACUAAUCUAAGACCUCCUCGUCUCAGUUCUCGAUGAUGCAGCUAUCUGAUACCUCUUGAGGAUGAUUUUCUUUUGGAUUUGGCGGAGUAUUUGUUGACUGGAAGGCGAAUCUGCCACGCCAAGAAGGUAGGCGCAGAACUGAUCCAAGACCUCCUCGCCUCAGUUCUCGAUGAUGCAACUAUCUGAUACCUUUUGAGGAGGAUUUGCUUUUGGAUUUGGCAGAGUAUUUGUUGACUGGGAGGGGAAUCUGCCGCGCCAAGAAGGGUUUCUAUCGGAUCAACAGACAAGCUGCGAGAUGGAGAAGAAGAUGGUUUCUAUUGGUCCCACGGACAAGUGGCGAGAUGGAGAUUAAGAUGUGAUUAUCACAAGUGGGCAGAAAGUUUUGAUUUACACCAGAUUCUUUUGUGCAAUCCUGAUGACAUUUACUCAAAGGAAAUAGCAGACAAGGAGCCACAAUAUCAACAAUUUGAAUUCCUCUGGAUGGGAUAUUUUGAGAACUUUAUCAGGUGCAGCUGCAUAUUGUAUGUCUACUCCACGAUUUGCAAAAAUUUGGUGGGAUAAAGGAUGUGACUUGAGAAGAUCAAUUUUGAUAUGGCGACCGGUAGGAUGCCCAGCUUUUGGCACACUUGGUGAUUGUGUGAUACAAGGGUUAGACAUUGGCUCUUCUUAUGUUUUAUAAAUGAUACAAAAUUUGUGAUAUAAUAAUUCACAAUUUACUUGUUUCUGUUUAGAACCACCAGCUUUAGAUUGAUAACAUAAUUUGUGUUUAUCAUAACUCACGAGUUACUCAUUUGUCUCAAUGUGACAAUCCAUCAAUUUCUGCAAGUCCUGUAUAAUUCGCUAAAGUUGCACAUAUUUCUGGAAAAGGAUUUGAUCAAGCUUUUUUUCUGGUAUCCAAUUCCUCCUGGCUAUGUUUCAUUUGAUUGAGUGGUGACAACAACUGAUUAUCCACCAAAAAGGGAUUCAUAACUCACGAGUUACUCAUUUGUCUCAAUGUGACAAUCCAUCAAUUUCUGCAAGUCCUAUAUAAUUCGCUAAAGUUGCACAUAUUUCUGGAAAAGAAUUUGAUCAGGCUUUUUUUUUCUGGUAUCCAAUUCCUCCUGGCUAAGUUUCAUUUGAUUGAGUGGUGACAACAACUGAUUAUCCACCAAAAAAGGAUUUUGUCUGCUGUCCUAGAUCGGAUCUGUUAACCAAACAAAUGUUGCUAGUGAACCCAUUUCUAGGUCAUCUAGUUCAAAGGGCACAAAUUGCUAGAGUAUCUGGAAAGUUGAGAAUCAGGUAUCCCCCAAUUUUUUUGUUAUUCUCUUCUAUUUCACGUCCUGAUGUCUUCUUAUUCUUGACCUGUACUUUUCUUGCAUGUUUUGAUCACAUUAUACCAAUAACCCGAUUGGUGUACAAAUUUAGUGACUAUGCCAAAGCUAAAGCACAUGAAAAUGUUGCUGCUGAGUUGAAGUUGGAACUUCUCUCACUGAGUGUUUUGGACAAUUUUUGUGGAACAAUGAGUAGCCUUGUCUUGCUUACAUUGGUCUUAGAAAGAAGACACUUCAGUCUUCUUAUUUACUGUAUUAAUGCUUACUUUUGAUUUGGUUCAGAUGAUGCCACUUCUUGACACAACAGUGACAAUUAUUACACAUGGAAAUUUUCAGGCAAUGAAUGUUGUUCUAAUAUGUUCAAUUGCUUCAUCCACAUCAACAGACAACUAGAGGCAUGAGAGCCUCUAAUUGAACCAUUUGAUGCCAUAUUCAAGUAAUUAUUUGUAAUUUAUAUAUUUUGUAAGAUUUCAAUAAGAGUUUGAAAAAAAUGGGAGGGGGUUAUGUCAUUUACAGUUCCAUAUAUUCCUAUACUUCCUUAAAUCUAGUAUAUGUUGGACUUUACUAGUAUUUUCAUUAUUAGUUUUUUUACCCUUUAGAAUGGAAACAUAUUAUAAGCAAAAAUUCACAAUCCACAAUCAGCAUGCAAAUUCAUUUUUUUCAACGAGUGCCCUAAAUGUUAACAUUAGUGCUGCAAAUCUAGAAACUCUCAUUGAAACUAUUAUUUUCUGGUAUGCAAAAUGAUGUGGAGAACAAAUUGUUGAGAAAAAGCAAGGUAAUGUAUGAUGUCAAUUCACAUGUUACCCCAUUGAGAUUUGUUGUAUCUACAGUUGAACUAAUUAUAUGUUUUUAUUCUUCCAGGAAACUGGUGAAAAUUAUAGUAAUUCAGAUAAUUUAAUAGCCUCUGUAUAGUUGAUGAUGUUCAGGAACAAGCUCGGAUGUGAUAUGCAUUUGAGAGAAUUUGAACAAAAUUCAGAGACAACCAAGUUUUUACAGCACAAUGGGCAUGUUUCACUAUUCUUUCCUACUCCAAGAUUUUUGGAUAAGCUAAAUGUCGUGGCCAAUUCUAGGGAAUCAAGCUACUAUGUUGCUAUAUAGAUUCUUGAGUCGGAGGUCAUACAACUGUAUUUAUUCUUAUAAUCAUACUCUAAAUCAAUAGUUUUGGAUAUAAUUCUAUUUCAUACAUUUGCAAAGGUUAACUAUAGUGGAUGAUGGUAAUAACAUGACUACUUUUGUCCUUUAUGGUUGCUUAUUGAUGGUAAGGUAUUUGAUCAAUACAAACUUUUCCCACAAGUGCGAGGACAAGUUGCAUGAGUCCAUUGCUAUCAAAGAACACUAAGAGCCACGCUAGGCGGAACAAACUCUUCAUAUUUGAAGUUCCUAAGAAGAUCUAGUUAAAGUUGGAGAAGAGAGAAGAACUACAAAUUGGCUUAGGUCUACUGUAUGUGUAAGUGAACUAUAAUGUGAACCCAAUACUCCAAUUCAGCAUCAAAACCAGCACCCAAGACCAGGAAUUCAAAUCUGUUCUGCAUUUCACAAGUUCAGUUUCAGA